GGCGGCAGCUAUACAUGCAAGUCGAGCGAGCGGAACUAACAGAUUUACUUCGGUAAUGACGUUAGGAAAGCGAGCGGCGGAUGGGUGAGUAACACGUGGGGAACCUGCCCCAUAGUCUGGGAUACCACUUGGAAACAGGUGCUAAUACCGGAUAAGAAAGCAGAUCGCAUGAUCAGCUUUUAAAAGGCGGCGUAAGCUGUCGCUAUGGGAUGGCCCCGCGGUGCAUUAGCUAGUUGGUAAGGUAAAGGCUUACCAAGGCGAUGAUGCAUAGCCGAGUUGAGAGACUGAUCGGCCACAUUGGGACUGAGACACGGCCCAAACUCCUACGGGAGGCAGCAGUAGGGAAUCUUCCACAAUGGACGCAAGUCUGAUGGAGCACCGCCGCGUGAGUGAAGAAGGUUUUCGGAUCGUAAAGCUCUGUUGUUGGUGAAGAAGGAUAGAGGUAGUAACUGGCCUUUAUUUGACGGUAAUCAACCAGAAAGUCACGGCUAACUACGUGCCAGCAGCCGCGGUAAUACGUAGGUGGCAAGCGUUGUCCGGAUUUAUUGGGCGUAAAGCGAGCGCAGGCGGAAGAAUAAGUCUGAUGUGAAAGCCCUCGGCUUAACCGAGGAACUGCAUCGGAAACUGUUUUUCUUGAGUGCAGAAGAGGAGAGUGGAACUCCAUGUGUAGCGGUGGAAUGCGUAGAUAUAUGGAAGAACACCAGUGGCGAAGGCGGCUCUCUGGUCUGCAACUGACGCUGAGGCUCGAAAGCAUGGGUAGCGAACAGGAUUAGAUACCCUGGUAGUCCAUGCCGUAAACGAUGAGUGCUAAGUGUUGGGAGGUUUCCGCCUCUCAGUGCUGCAGCUAACGCAUUAAGCACUCCGCCUGGGGAGUACGACGCGCAAGGUUGAAACUCAAAGGAAUUGACGGGGGCCCGCACAAGCGGUGGAGCAUGUGGUUUAAUUCGAAGCAACGCGAAGAACCUUACCAGGUCUUGACAUCUAGUGCCAUUUGUAGAGAUACAAAGUUCCCUUCGGGGACGCUAAGACAGGUGGUGCAUGGCUGUCGUCAGCUCGUGUCGUGAGAUGUUGGGUUAAGUCCCGCAACGAGCGCAACCCUUGUUAUUAGUUGCCAGCAUUAAGUUGGGCACUCUAAUGAGACUGCCGGUGACAAACCGGAGGAAGGUGGGGAUGACGUCAAGUCAUCAUGCCCCUUAUGACCUGGGCUACACACGUGCUACAAUGGGCAGUACAACGAGAAGCGAGCCUGCGAAGGCAAGCGAAUCUCUGAAAGCUGUUCUCAGUUCGGACUGCAGUC
rnacentral:rRNA from 1 species